AGGGGUGUAGCCUAGUGGUAGGGCAGCGGACUUUGACUCCGCCUGUGAUGGUUCGAUUCCAUCCAUCCCUGCCA
rnacentral:tRNA from 1 species